rnacentral:pre_miRNA from 1 species
CCGAUCAUUUUUUAGGGGUGGGCUCCGUGUCUGAGAGUUCUAAAUUGCUCUCGGACACGGAGGCUCCCGAAAUGAUGAUGCA